rnacentral:rRNA from 1 species
UACGUAGGAGACGAGCGUUGUCCGGAAUUACUGGGCGUAAAGGGCGUGUAGGCGGAUGAGCAAGUCUGCUGUGAAAGCUCCUGGCUUAACCGGGAGUGGUCGGUGGAAACUGCUCGUCUGGAGGACGGUAGAGGUAGGUAGAAUUCCCGGUGUAGUGGUGAAAUGCGUAGAGAUCGGGAGGAAUACCGGUGGCGAAGGCGGCCUACUGGGCCGGACCUGACGCUGAGACGCGAAGGCGUGGGGAGCGAACGGG